rnacentral:rRNA from 1 species
AUUGAACGCUGGCGGCAGGCCUAACACAUGCAAGUCGAACGAGGGGCGGGCGGGUGAGUAAUGUCUGGGAAACUGCCUGAUGGAGGGGGAUAAAUACUGGAAAGGGGAGCUAAUACCGCAUACCAUCAGAUGUGCCCAGAUGGGAUUAGAUUGUGGGUGGGGUAACGGCUCACCAAGGCGACGCUCCAUAGCUGGUCUGAGAGGAUGACCAGCCACACUGGAACUGAGACACGGUCCAGACUCCUACGGGAGGCAGCAGUGGGGAAUAUUGCACAAUGGGCGCAAGCCUGAUGUAGCCAUGCCGCGUGUAUGAAGAAGGCCUUCGGGUUGUAAAGUACUUUCAGCGGGGAGGCGUUACCCGCAGAAGAAGCACCGGCUAACUCCGUGCCAGCAGCCGCGGUAAUAC